GCCAGACCACUCACAUGCUGUUAUUUUACAUUUCUGCUACCGCUGGAUGUAUAACUACUUCUGAGCAGUAUCUUGCUUUUGUCUAGUAGACAAGGCACUGGUACUCAGGUAAGGGAGCUUCAAGUUUUUCACCAAUAUAUGCUAUUAUUAUGUAUUCUUCUGUUUUAUGGGAAAGGAGGUAUGAGUAUGGUAUACUGUUGCAUACCAUACUGACAGGAAAAGUACCCGGCCUCUAAAUAAUGUUUGAAAAUAAAAAAUGAACAGUGAUGUGACUCAGCAGUUGACUCUAGUCAGUUAACUUACACAGUUCUCUGACAGUGCCAGCCCAUCUCUGAGGACCAUGUCCCACAGAAAUUUCAUGCAUUGCUGUAAAAAAAUGAGUUUGAUUCAUUUCUAAUUUGUCUGCAAUUAGUAUAGCAGGAAAAGGUUUUUCAGAUUUGGUGGUUAAGUUUCAAAAUGUUCAUGAAUGAAUUGUAGCUUUAAUGCAGUUCUGCACUUAUUAUGGUAUUCAGUAAAUGUGCUGUGUAGUCUGUUCUGUUCUUGGAUCUAACAAGAUGCCUGUUCCUCCCUGAUUUGUUUGAAUCCUCCUUCCCAAUUAGUAUAAAUUGUUCAGCUUUUGAAUUCAUAAAGAAUGGCUGUAUCACAGUUUCCAUAAGUUGAUGUGACUGUUGCAGUUAUAUUUGUGUUAUGGUUGAAAGUUGAUUAAGAACCUUGAUUUUGCAUAUUAGGCAAUCAAAAAAAGUUACACUUUAGAAACCCAAUACUUUUCAUCCUUAAGCCAACAAGACAAGAAUUAACAUUUUUUAAACAGUAGUGUGAAAAACCUGUCAUUGAUAAUGCAUGAAGAAGCGAGUAUACUUUUGUUUCUUUCCUUGUGUAUUUUCUGGUAGUGAAUUUGUAUGAACUAAAAUUAAUGUACAGGCUUUAAAAUUAUCAGAACAAUAAAGAACAUGCUUGUUCCACAACAAGAUUACUGUGAACUUAAAAAUAAUUCACACAAAAAGGAACAGUGUAUACAGCAGACUGAGUAACUUACUCUGAAAGUGCCAUAUAACAUGAGAAAACAGAAGACGCAAUGUAAUGAGAAGCAUGUGAUGAUCCCAACUAACCAGCCCUCUGUUCCUGAAAAUAAAGACAAUAAAGAUAGGAUUAAUUGUCCUUUCAGAAGGAAACUCCUUGAAAACAUGCUGGCUAUCCUUUCUUUCCCUCAAAGAAAUUCAGAUCAUAAUCAUCUUCAUAACCCUUAGCAUUUCCUGGGAGGUUCAUCUUAUAACAAAGAAUCCUUCACCAAUUUCCUAAUAUAUACAUUUUAUAUAACUUCCAUCUGCCUUGCACUUAUCUCCCAAUCAGUAAUUUAUUUUCUACCUUUCUCAAAGGACUCAACCCUUAAUUUAAUAGCAUUUCUACUUUCAUAUGAAGCCCAGCAUCCUGACUGUAGACUACACCCCUUUUUAUUAAUUUCUUUACUCUGCAGAAACUUCAUCUUUGAUUCUAAUCUGCUUACAUCUCUCCAACCGUCUGCAUUCCUCAGCUGUACACAUAAUAGUUUACUUGCAGUUACCAUAAUUUCAAUUUGCAGAUUAUGAGACUUACAAGACCUGGGGCCACAUCCACUCUUUCUUUGCAACUUCUGGCCUCUGGGCUAUAAAUAUUGACUAAAAUUUUUAUAUUCUUUCUAAUAUUUAUCCAAGCCCUUUCAAUGUCCACGUUAUCAGAAUGGACAAUCGGAACAGUAUCAGACCAUUCACCUCUCAGCAUUACAUAUGGCAUCCCAUCUCUAACAAACUCCACCCUGUUGAUGUGAUUCCCUUAUAUAAAAAUAGUCUGUCCCUAGGUGACAAUCAGCAUUCCCAUUUUCAUAGAAUAAUGUAUAAUCGUCUUCUGGUUCAGCACCUCCAUUGUCCUAACUGACCUCCUCUACUCCCAUUAAAUUUCACAUCCAUUUUCUAAUUCUCUUCAUUCUGAUUCAAAGUACCUGACUUAUAGACACUCCUGACAUAACAAGUUUCAAAUUUCAUGUCUCUGCUCCACUGCUUAGGUAGGUCCAGAGAAUCCAUCCAAGUUUAAACCCCUGUGUAACAUUUUGUGAGAUGCUGGCUUUUUAUGGUGAUUAGUUGUUAGCCCCUGCCUAACCUCCAGACAGUAGGGCUACCUCUUGUCUUCUGUCCACACCUGUUUAUUUAUUUAUUUAUUUGCUCUAAUAUGGAGGCCUUCUCCUACAACUACAUCCUGCAGACUUGCCAUACCAUGCAUACCAUGAUGAUAAAGGGUCCACUUAACAUGGCAUAUUACAUUGAGCACAUUGUAAUUAAUAUUGUUGUCUGAGCAUUCAACACAAAGCAUUGUAUUGUUAUCUUAUUUAAUCUGGACACAUCUUGACAUUCACAGUGUAUUGUUGAUGUUGAUCCUACUUUUAGGUGCAGGCAAUUUGUGAAGCGACCUGUGUUACUGACAUUUCAGAGGAGCAUACUGCUUCCAUCAUAGGGACUGAAGUUAGGAGUGACUGUGGAAUGCCACCUCACACCACCAUCUGGCCCAGAUGUGUUAUGUCCUGUCAGCCUUAAUGCCAGGGUAAACAGUGUAUACUCAACCAUUCCAGUUUUGUUGUACACAGUACAAAUUACUGAUGGUAAGAUUCCUGACAACCAAUCACAGUUUGAAAUUGUAAGUGUGCUCCACAUAAAAAUACACAUGUUUUCCGAACAGAUUUUAUUUGGAAUUCAGUAACAGCAGAACAGAUUACAGUAAGGGUUCUCAACCUGUGCCCCAUAUUAAUUUUUUUAAUAUUACAUUGUUCUGUUUAACUCUUUAACACUGAAGCUUGUGUAAAUAAUAUUUAAACAACUGGUUCUUAUCUAAAAAAACACAGCUUCAUUAAAAUGAUCAUUUGUUUAGUCUUUAAUUUACUAGGAUUUUAAAUCCCUGUAUCCUAUGCUGGCCCAAUUUAAAUCUCCCAAUGUGCAUGUGUUUCAGUAAAACAAUGUAUCUUUCUUAAAAACCUGCAUACAGCAGUGAAAAAAAUAUAUGCCUUAUGCAGAAAUGUUCACUCUAUUACUUGAAAUCAUUCCUCAAGCUGUCACUCCACAAGAUUGUUUCUAAUAUAAUGUAAUAUUACACAUAUUUGCGUUUUCUGCUAUCAUUAGAAAUAUAAUUUGAAAAUAUUGUGAUAUUAUUAAAGUAAUUACCUUAAAAUGUGAUUGCAAAAUCUAACCAUUUCUUUUCCCUCUGACAAACAACUGUAGAAAUUUCUGUAUCAUUUCCUGCCCCUACUAUACAAGAACACAAACAUAGGUGCAACUAACUUUUCACUCCAUAAUAGAGGAAACUAUUUGAAGGUCAGUUUUGCUUGGUAUAGUUCCCAACACAUAGAAGUAUGGAGUCUAACACCUCCAGCUGCAUAGGAGUGUACACUCAUUGGGUAGUGUUUUCUAUCAUUUAUCUCCAGAUGGGAUAACUGAGAUAUUGUUGGGCUUCAUUUUCCUUGUAUUCCAUUUCCAUUUACAGCCUCUUCCGUUGUAAGAAGAAGGUCAUAAACUAGUUGUUUCUUGAAUUGCAACUGGGUCAUUUUACACCAUACUGCUUCUAUGUUAUAAAAUAAUUUAUGACUACUGUAUAAAAGUUUCUUUGUUCACUUAAAGUUCUAUAAUUUAUGCCAGACCUCUGGCCCAUCCUGUCAAUUGUAUCAAAUAGCUUGUGUGUGUUGUAGUUUGCACUGCUUGGGGCGUCAGAGCAUUAUGUGCACCAAAAUUUCCCUCAGCUGCAGCUGUACUUGUGUCUCUUGUCUUUAUAACUCACUGCCAUGAUAAUGUUAUUAUCUCUACUCACAAUAUCUCAUUUCUUUCUUUUCAGGGCCCUAGGGCCAAAAUGUUGGGGCAGUCCUUCUGUUAUGACAAAGAGUGUCACAAUAAGCAAUUUUCAUGUUGUAUUGGUCAUCAAAUAGGUCAGAAGAUGUAAAGUUCUCAAAUUAUUCAUGUACAACUUGUGACUAACACCCUCCACACUUCUUCCAAGAUUCAUAAUAAUACAAUUAGGUGUCAGUCAGAAGUGGCAUGUUUACAUUGCAUUGCUGUGUAAGCCCUCACGUCAUAUUUAGACUUCAAAGAGUUGCAGAGAUUGUAGUUUUUUGUCAAAUAUUUAGUGUUUCUGCAGGUUAUACAUCAUAAACUGCUAUCCCUUGAAAAGUGUGAUUAUUCCAUCAACAGCUAGGUACUCCAUUGGAUGGCAGUAGUCCUUAAAAUUAUCAUGAAUUUAGGAAUGUGCACUAUUCAUUUUCCACGGAUGAUCCUACAUCUGUCUUUGUCUGAAGGUGGGGAAAAGGGGCAGGGGAAUAUUUGCAUUAUCAGCAUAGUAUUGAAAUAUAAACAAAUUGGGUUUUGAACAAUUCCUUUAGAUCACAAAGAUGUCUAGUUCUGUUUGUUAUGCACCAGUAACUAUUCUUCUGUGCCCUAUAUAAAGUAAAUACAUUGAAAUCUUUAAUUUCUUAAUCUGUGAUAUCCUGCCUUUCCAGAGUGCUAGUUGCUUGUAGUAUGCAAUACUGAAGGCAGUGCAGAUUUGAUUCCUUCAAUAGUAAUGUGACCAGAAACUAUACAAGGCAGAGUUUGGAGUACUGUGUGGGAGAAGAAUUAUCCUUGAUAUCAGGUGUUGAAUUAUAAUCUAACCUAACAAUGGGUUCAUCACCAUGAUCUUGAAAGCCAUUACUAUACCCUAUCCUUAACAAUGUCAGCAGUCUGAGCAGAUGGCAGCUAAGAUGUUUUCCCUCAUUGUACAUGUGGUUGGGGAGCGAAUAUUGUUUCCUGAACAUAUUUCUUUAAAAUAACAUGAGAAGGAAAUAAGAAAUUUGGAAAAUAAAACCUAUGUAUAUUCAGCAAGAAGACAAACAUCAACUGAGACAUUUGACAGCAUGCAGGUCUGUGCACCAUAGAAGUAUGAAUAAAAAAUGCAAGAGUAUGGAAAUGAGGAAUGUCUUCAAUUUAAGUAAUAUUUCUGGAGGUGUAUAUCCUACAAAAAUGUUUGAAUAAAGCAAGCUACAAGACUGGGGUGAGUACAAUUAUAGUCUGCCUGUUACAAUAUUAAUCAUGCCAUGAAGAUAUUAAGGGGAGUGGAGGUAUAGCCCAAUUCCUUGACUUGGCACCAGAUGAUAGGGAGUGAUCAGCUUCAUGCCAUGCUUAAUUACCCCUGUGGAGGGUAGCACCUGACAAAAUCUUGAGGUGGGAGGUUGCGUAUGCUCCAGUGCCAGUCUUUAUGUUCUUUAUGGCUGAAUAGAUUAUGUUGAAUGACCAGUGGACUGAAGAUAUGUCUUUUUCCAGAAUGUGAAGCAAAACAUGUCUAGCUUUAGGUUUCACAGCUUUAAUAAAGUAACAAUUGUUGCUAUUCAUGUUAAAUACUGUCUGGGUGCAGAUCAUAAACACACAACUGUUUGAUAAAACACUUUUAACUUACCUCAGUAAAGGAAUUUAUUAAUUUUAAUUUUGGUAUUAAUAAUUACAGUAGCAGUGCAGCAGUACAGCUCCAACAUUUGUAGUCUCAGGUGAUGAAAAACUAUUCCUAUUUAAGAUGAUUUCUUCAGUGGCCAUUCAUUGUUUUCCAGGCAGAAGACCCCACUAACAAUUACAAAGAACCAGUGAACCGGAUGAUGAUUAAGUAUUGAAAUACAAUAAUUGUGGCAGAGUUGUAUUUCCUACUGGGUUAAUGGAGACUAUUUGAGAAUUUUUCCUAGCCUUUUAAAAACUGCACUAAAUCUUUGAAUAGAAAAUAUCAAAAAAUUGUCAUCUUGCUAUUUGGCCAUUUUGCUUUCUUUACUUAUAAACAGUUACAUAUAUUCCUCUGUUACACAUUUUUUUAAUACUUACAAGUGUAAAUAUUGCCACCACUGCAGAACCAAAUCUUGUGGAGAACCAAAAGAUGAAGUGAUACAUUACUGCCAUUACUACGGCAGGUGAUUUGUCUCUCUCUGUGUGUUACAAGAUGCUAUGUGCCAGGUCUCGGGAGAAAACUGUAAUCAUGAAAACACUUUCAACAGAACACAUGCAGAAUUGAUAUUGAUAAUUUUGUACAAUACAUAUGAAUAAAUUAUUCACUGUU